rnacentral:rRNA from 1 species
GACAGAGGUCCCGAGCGUUGUUCGGAUUCAUUGGGCGUAAAGGGUGUGUAGGAGGCUAGGUAAGUCAGGUGUGAAAUCUCACAGCUUAACUGUGAAACUGCGCUUGAUACUGCUUGGCUAGAGGAUCGGAGGGGGUAACGGAAUUCAUGGGUGUAGCAGUGAAAUGCGUAAGAUAUCAUGAGGAACACCGGUGGCGAAGGCGGUUACCUGGGAAGAUUCCUGACUCUGAAACACGAAAGCCAGGGGAGCAAACGGG